rnacentral:rRNA from 1 species
GCAAGUCGAACGAAGUCCAUGGAGCUUGCUCCGGAAGAUUGAGUGGCGAACGGGUGCGUAACACGUGAGAAACCUGCCCCGGACUUUGGGAUAACAGUUGGAAACGACUGCUAAUACCGAAUGUCGUCUUUUUCCCGCAUGGUGUUUUGAUGAAAGGUCCGCCGGUCCGGGAGGGUCUCGCGGCCUAUCAGCUUGUUGGAGGGGUAAUGGCUCACCAAGGCGUCGACGGGUAGCUGGUCUGAGAGGAUGAUC